rnacentral:tRNA from 1 species
UCCUUAGUGGUGCAGUGGCUAAGACUCUGUGCUUCCAAUGCAGGGGGCCUGGGUUCAAUCCCUGGUUAUGGAA